ensembl:snRNA U12 U12 minor spliceosomal RNA
AUGCCUUACACGUAGGAGUAAGGAAAAUAACAAUCUGGGGUGAUACCCAGGUCCUCACUGCUAAUGUGAGAGGAAUUUUUGCGGAGACUCAGGUUGCUCCCAGGGUGACUGGCCUACUUAGCGAGAAAAAAAAUCACUAGUGUAUGUGAUACAGGGCACCAGCGGUGAAAGUAGCUUAAAAUGUCUC